UCAGCUUGUGGUCUCACUAAUUCCUGCCAAUAUUGACAGCAGUAAUGAACCGCAGGCCCGCGGCUACAGAGGAAAAUUUCUAAAUCAAUGGCCGUACAAGUUGGAGGAAAAAGUGUUGGAAUUAUUGUUUAUCUUACUACAGAAUUAACGUAUAUUUCUCUGUGGGAGUCAAAAUCUUUGACGAAGUAAAGGGCGUUCGGGUUUCGGGAUGAAACGGAACACGUACGCUUCAUGAAGAACGGAGUCAAUAUUCUGAUUGCAGUCGGUCACGCAAGUUAUCUAAAAGAUAUGGAAAAUGCUGGAAAAGUUCCAGACAUUGACGUGGUUGUAGGCGGUCAUACCAACACUUUUCUUUGGAAUGCACUUCAACGGCGUCCGUUUGCCGGCUUGCUCGUUUCAAAUUUUUCCGUUUCUUUUGCAGAUCAUCAUCCGGCAACAACGCAUCCGAUUUCCAAAGUCCUUCUGUCCAUUAACAGUCGAGCCCGAGCUGGGUGGUUUUCAGGUUUGAUCAUCAUCAUCGCGAGUUCAGGUUUCUUAUUUGUUAAGAUAAUCUUGUAAGACGAAUUGCACGUUGGGUACCCAGACCAGACGUAUGAAACAUUGACCAACCACGACUUUCAAGAUCAUCUUAAAUACCAGAAAAUAGAUCAUGGAGAUCAACGGCGUAGCCUACUUCAUUUCAACUUCAAGAUCUCUUAUAACAUGGUAAAAGUGAUAGUGUUAGUCAACUUUCAACCAUAUAAAGUCUGAGCUUCAUCAUUGAAGUCCAAUGUGCACAUGGAUUUGGUGCAGCCAGCUGGUCUACGGUGUGGUGAGAUGUUGCAUGCAGACUCAUUGCUUUUUUGACAGUGGACAGAAAUGUGUUGCUGAUGGUGUUUUCACUGUUAUGUUUAAAAGUGAUAAGGAAUUUCCACGCCAUUCGACCAAGCUGAAUCAAAGGUGAACAAUUCUAAAAUAGCAUGUCGAAGAUCUUUUUUUUUCUCCACGUGAUUGCUGCCGAGUCAUGAAGAUGCGUCUGUGAGAUGGUCUCUACUAUAUAGCAAGAUUCUGUGGUGAGGUUGAUGUUUGAGCUGUUUAUGGUGUUGCUGUUUGGUGUGCAGUAGCAGUUAUUUUCCAGUUGACAGAUGCACUUAAAUGGGGCUUGUGUAGACUUGCAGUUCAACAUCACACUUCAAUGUCUUUUUUUUUCCUUCAUUUUUUUCCUAUUUUUUUCCAUCUUUCUCGUCUUAAGGGUACAUUAGAAACUUUGGGAUUUGGGGUCUAAAACAUCUGGAGUAAAAAUUAGAUUUAAUGAGAAAUCUGGUAAAUUGGUCCAUCCAUCAAAUAAGUCUUGUAAGCUGAGGUUCGCGAUUGGGAAAGCAGCGAGGAGGAAUCCGGGAGAAAUUUUACUUUCAUAUCUAUUAAUUUUGAGGUAUAUUGAUAUUGAGAGGGAAGGUAGGUAUGAAAUUAUGAAAACAAAUAACAUUAUUGUGUACCAACAAUGUAAUGUAACAACACCCUGACUUGAGUAAACGUAUCAAAGCCUAACUUAAAUUUGUCUGCUUGUUAAAUUGUUACCAUGACUUGCACAUGCAUUCAAUCAGGAAGGGGGACACUGUCUUGAUUGACUUGAAGAAGAGAUAUGGUUGGCUGGUCAUAGUAGACUUCCGGCUUAGACUCAUGACCCUCCAACAGUUUUCAUCAGAUCAUGCGCCUUGCAAGUCCCUGUUCGACCAGCGCACUCCCUUCCUCCUGGUUGUCGCAGCAAGUGAGUAACCACCGGUGGGCGUUGGUUAGCUGUUACUUGUUAGUUAGGGAAACGGGGCCACAGAAAACACGGCAGCCCAAAUAUGCCCUUGUAAAUUUUCUAACUGCACAAUUUAUCAGUCUUCAAUUCCAGAAAUGAGCAAUCUCUCAUCAGUUUUCAAACAACUAAGAGUGGUGAGAGAUUA